rnacentral:lncRNA from 1 species
ACACAUGGUUGGAUCAUAUAGCUAUAGAAAGGAUUAGUGAUUCAUAGUGGCUUCAGCAAUUAUGGUAGGUAUAUAUGUUAUUCUUUUACUACAAAAAAUCAAAUAAUUUGUUCAAAUGAAACAUUUAACUUGUCAAAAAUAUACCCUGAAAGCACAUAAAUUUCACAGGACCAUAAAUUCAACUUGAAACUUUCCAGCUGUGCAAACACAUGGUUGGAUCAUAUAGCUAUAGAAAGGAUUAGUGAUUCAUAGUGGCUUCAGUGAUUCAUAGUGAUUCAAGCUGUUAACAAGAUUUCAGGCAUUAGAAGAAGGGGAAAAAAAUCGAAUCCACUGAUAGUCAAAAUUAUAACACUAGCAAGUAUAGAUGUCUCGUGCUAAAUAAUCAUGCACACAGCUCAAAACAAAAUAAUUCAAUCUAAUCAUUUGCCACAUAAUAAAUGUCGCAGUAAAAAGCACAUUAAUAAUGAAUUCGAGAAUUAGAUGGAAAUGCCCAUAAAAUCUAGAGGCAAUCUAUCUUUUCAUUUUUAAGCCUCCAGAAGAUUACAAUCAAAAUUACCAUUUAUCCAAACUUUCAUCCAAUUCACAAUGCAAUUAAGGAUUACAAAAUUGGAAGAGUAUGGAAAGAUGCAAUGUUCUCAUUUCCUUCCAAUAAACUUCUUAGCACACAAAACAAAUUCUAUUAGGAAAGUAAAAUUCUUUACCAAAAUCACAACUGUCAACUUGUUCACAUUAAAGAAAAUAGGAAAAUCAAAUAUAUUUAAGUAUUUAAUUUCAGUAGCAUGCAAUUACACGUGAAGGACAAUUGGGUCAGUAUAAAAACAACAGAAGAUAUUAUUGAGUUUAAAUUGUGGCGGCAUCAAAGGAAUUUGACAAUGUUAGGUUUCCAUCCAAAUUGGGGGAAACCAAAAUAAGACAUGAAUUCUGAUUAAAUGCACGCUGGAUUUUCAAAUUGGGUGCAAAACUGACUGAAAUUAAUUUUAAAUAAAAAAAAUAAAACUUUUAAAUCCAGUGACUUACCAAAAUUAUGAAUAUGGCCAAAACUGGAAAGCGGAAUAAACAGGAGACAAUCCAGCGAAAAAAAGAAAAUAAAUUAAAAUUAAAAAAAUCGAUGGAAUCGAGUUAUGAGCUUGAGCUGAUGUUAAAGCUUCAUCGGCUAAGAGAGGUCUCGGCGAAGAUCAGCGACUCGGAGAAGAGAAGGACCCAUUUAGAAAUGGGUAUUUUAUUAAAGUCUUUUUUUUUCCCCCAUAUUUUUUAAAAUUUUUAUAAUUGCCUCUCAAUAAACAGGAGACAAUCCAGCGAAAAAAAGAAAAUAAAUUAAAAUUAAAAAAAUCGAUGGAAUCGAGUUAUGAGCUUGAGCUGAUGUUAAAGCUUCAUCGGCUAAGAGAGGUCUCGGCGAAGAUCAGCGACUCGGAGAAGAGAAGGACCCAUUUAGAAAUGGGUAUUUUAUUAAAGUCUUUUUUUUCCCCCAUAUUUUUUAAAAUUUUUAUAAUUGCCUCUCAAUAAGACGACCAUUUUCAAUUUGACCCUCAUAGAAUUAAUAAUUUAUUAAUUGAGGCCUUUGAGAUUCAGCAUAAGAGCAUUAGAAUGUAUUGAACAUAUUUCAAUGUAAU